AUUGAACGCUGGCGGCAGGCCUAACACAUGCAAGUCGAGCGGAAACGAAGGGAGCUUGCUCCCAGGCGUCGAGCGGCGGACGGGUGAGUAACACGUGAGAAUCUGCCCAUUAGUGGGGGACAACUCGGGGAAACACGAGCUAAUACCGCAUAAUCCCUACGGGGAAAGCAGGGGACGUUUUGGCCUUGUGGAGGUGGAUGAGCUCACGUCGGAUUAGCUUGUUGGUGAGGUAAAGGCUCACCAAGGCGACGAGCCGUAGCUGGUCUGAGAGGAUGAUCAGCCACACUGGGACUGAGACACGGCCCAGACUCCUACGGGAGGCAGCAGUGGGGAAUCUUGGACAAUGGGGGCAACCCUGAUCCAGCCAUGCCGCGUGUGUGAAGAAGGCCUUCGGGUUGUAAAGCACUUUCAGCAGGGAGGAAGGCUUUGGCCGAAUAGGUUGAAGUACUUGACGUUACCUGCAGAAGAAGCACCGGCUAAUUUCGUGCCAGCCGCCGCUGUAA
rnacentral:rRNA from 1 species